rnacentral:rRNA from 1 species
CAAUCCAGGUCGGUUUCUAUCUAUGUAGUUGUUUUCUUCAGUACGAAAGGACCAAGAAAACAGGACCGCUGUCAACGACACGUCCUAAACACAAGGCUGAAUACAACUAAAGCCAAACAACAAAAUAAAACCCGGAGAUAACGGGCUUA